rnacentral:rRNA from 1 species
UACGUAGGUGGCAAGCGUUGUCCGGAUUUACUGGGCGUAAAGAGCGCGCAGGCGGUCGUUCAAGUCGCGUGUGAAAGCCCCCGGCUCAACUGGGGAGGGUCACGCGAUACUGAUCGACUCGAAGGCAGGAGAGGGUAGUGGAAUUCCCGGUGUAGUGGUGAAAUGCGUAGAUAUCGGGAGGAACACCUGUGGCGAAAGCGGCGCACUGGACCAUAACUGACGCUGAGGCGCGAAAGCUAGGGGAGCAAACAGG